rnacentral:lncRNA from 1 species
UUAGGUUUAUUUCAUUUCGCCGUUGACAGUGGUUUUCCUCAUCGUCCUGCAGGUACACUGAUUUUCUUUAUGUUUGAAAUUGUUUUUCUCGAAAUGGUUUCAGUGGGUGUCUUCAUUUCAUUUCAUUUAACUGGUUUUAGGCAACGUUUCACACACCAUUGUUGUUGUCUGUCGAUGUGUUACUGUUUUUCUGCAUUUUUUAGGCAUACUGGUCUGUUACUGUUUUCUAUCGAUGUCAUCAUUUGUAGAAAUCUUAAAGUAUGCAAAAACAUGAAGUAUCUAGCAACAGAGCCUGGAUUUAAUCUAUUUUAUUUUUAUUAAAUUAUUACAUGUACUUAGGUUAAAUAAAUUUUUAGUAUAAUGUGUGAUAAGAUACAAAAAUUGAAGCUAAAAUUGGUAAUUUAGAAUUGCCGAAAUUAACAGAUCAUGAAAUUGAGUAUGUCAUGAGAUUUGAAUUGCUUGAAAAUGUUGUCAUGUUAAGAUUUGUUUGAGUAUUUACAUAUGGUAAAUGUUGUGAAUGGAUUACUAUGAAAUGAGCCUUUGUAUUGAAUGGUAAUGAUGUAUGGUAUUUGUACAGUUAUGAAUAAAGUAGUAUUGUUUACAAUUGAAUUUGUUAAGAACAUAUUUGGCCAGAAAUGUGGUAUAAAAAUGUGAAUGGGCUGAUUAUGUAUUUGCAGGUUGGUAUCGAAAAUUUGGUCUUUUGGGGCUCCGAUUUUGUAUACAUUUUUUUGCUGGUUUUCCUUUUAAAUAUUGGAUGAUUUUACUUACUUAAAAUUGCCAUCUAGUUUUCUGCCUUAUAUUUUCUGCUAUAAUCUGGCAUCCAGUUUGCCAUGUUUUGGUAUUAAAUUAUUUUGGUCCUUCACAAAUCAAAUACGGUAUAUUAAUGUUUAGAGACUAAUUGAUGAUACUUUAUCUAAAGGAAUCUAAAUAUGUUCUCAUGUGUCCUGCCAUCACCAUUGCCGUUAAUUACAGCAUAAGUUACUGCAUAGGAUUCUAAGGACCCAAAUAUAAUACAGCUCGUAAAUUACAUAAUUAGAUAAAAUUGAAAGUAUCCUUUUUGAAUCUACUUUCUUCUCACAUUUAACUUUCAUUAAUAAAUAAUUAAAUCUUCUUCCAUUUCUCAAGUAAUUCAUUUCCAAAAUCCCAUUUGAAAUGUGUAAAUAAUAUUAACAUAGAUAAAUAAAUUGGUCCAAACUAUACAAAUAUUUAUAUGUUUUCCUUUUUCAUUAUCUUUUUAUUUUAAUUUUAUGCUAUUUUAAUCACGAAAAAUAUAUUUUGUUUUAUUUUUAACUUACCUAAUUAAAUAAAUUGUAUUUAAAGUUAUAUUUUAAAUAUUUUAUUUUAUUUUAAUCACGAAUUUUUUUAAAUAUUUUAUUUUAUUUGAAUCACGAAUAUUUUUAAAUAUUAAUUUUUUUUAAAAGUUCAAAUUUCAUAACUUACGUAAUUUACAUAUCUUACAUAAUUCAUAACUUACGUAAUUUAAAUUUAUAAUACAUAACUUACAUAUAAUACAUAACUUAUAUAACUUAAAUUUAGCAAUCAUAUCAUAACUUACAUACAUAAUUAGUAAUCAUAUCACAACUUACAUAACCAACAUAAUGACUUACAUAAUAACCUACAUAAUAACUUACAUAAUAAUACAUAAUAAUACAUAACAUACAUAAAUUAAAUAAGUUACAUAAUACACAAAAACAAAAACUUACAUAACUUACAUAAUAAUACAUACCAUACAUAAAUUAAAUAAGUUACAUAAUACACAAAAACAAAAACUUACAUAACUUACAUAAUAUCCUACAUCCCUACUUACAUAAUAAUACAUACUGUACAUAAAUUAAAUAAGUUACAUAAUACACAAAAACAAAAACUUACAUAACUUACAUAAUAACUUACAUAAUAAUGCAUACCCUACAUAAAUUAAAUAAGUUACAUAAUACACAAUAAGGUUAAAAACAUAGUGUAACUUACAUAAGAACUUACAUAAUAAUACAUACUCUACAUAAUAAUACAUAACUUACAUAAGACAUAACUUACAUAAGUUUCAUAAUACACAACUUACACAACUUACACAACUUACAUAACUUACAUAACUUACAUAAUACAUAACUUAUUCCUAAAUCCUAAACCCGUGCAAUUUAUUGUCAAUGUCAGACUUCAAGAAUUAAGAAAUGGACCGUUCUUGGAUGAAUUUGUCAAGAGUUAGCGACGGUUAUCAAAAUGGAGUGCAGAGUUUUCUAAAUUUUGCAUUUCAAUAUGCAAGCCAGGAGAACAUGAUUCUUUGCCCGUGUAAGAAGUGUGUCAACAUAAACUGGCAUUAUCGUGAGGUUGUAUACGAGCAUCUAAUUGUUGAUGGGUUUGUUCGGGGUUAUAAACAAUGGUUAUUUCAUGGAGAAUGCCCGCCUAGUACUUCCUCUUCAACGAUGGAUGUAUCUUGCUCUGGUCCUGCUUA